rnacentral:rRNA from 1 species
GUCUUCGAGUCGUUGAUUUCACACUGCCGAGAAAAGCCUCUAGAUAGAAAAUAGGUGCCCGUACCGCAAACCGACACAGGUAGUCAAGAUGAGAAUUCUAAGGCGAGCGAGCGAACUCUCGUUAAGGAACUCGGCAAAAUGACCCCGUAACUUCGGGAGAAGGGGUGCUCUUUAGGGUUAACGCCCAGAAGAGCCGCAGUGAAUAGGCCCAAGCGACUGUUUAUCAAAAAC